UAGCAUAAAAAUCUCGAUAACAAUUUCCUCAACAUAUUUACUUUUUUAUUUUUCUCUUAUAAAAUGUGAUAUUUUUAAAUCUACCCAUAAUACUAAGUGAAUAUCGUUUAGUGUGUUUUGCAAGACUACUGUAAGAUUUUUAAAAUAUAUCACAUUGCGUUCAAGACAAGGAAGAAUAAAGUGCUCUAAAAAGAUGUAAAACUAAGGCGAUUCUAAAGCUUCAUGGGAGAGAUUAAAGCCUCCGUAGAUGUGGCAAUCAGGUAGGGAAACUUCAAAGCUUCUCUGAGAGAUAUUGAAGCUCUCAAAGAUGCAAAAAUCAGCCAAAUGGGGAAUGCGAUGCUUGAUAAUCUCAAAUAUGGCCUUCUUCACAACUGUAAACUAUUACAGUAUUCACUUUGGGAUAUGCUUAACUAAUUGGUGGGAUGCACACACCGUAAGGGGGCAGCGGCAGGUAGGAGACCCGGCAAUAGAGGGAGAUUAAAACCAUUGAAGAGGAUGAUAGCAAGACCAGGAGAGCUACGAGAGUGAGGAGAGAGAUCAAGACUACUGAGGAAGGAUUAUAGGAUCAAGACCAUUUAGGAAGAGCAACUAUUGGAGAGAAUGAGAGAUCAAGAUCACUGAAGAGUGUGGGAGCAAUGGUGAGCAGUGCAACCUAGAGUGUUUAGGCCUUGUUAGUAUAAGGGUUACCAAGUAGAAAAAUAGAUGGCAUGUAUUUAGAUUUGUAUAUGUUGUAACAAAACUAAGUGCUAAAGUGCAGAAUAAUCUUUCUUUUAUGUUUAUUGAUCAUUGUAAUUACUUACUAUGUCAUGUAAUUCUUAGAGUUGAAUGAUUGUUAAUACCAAGUUGGUAUUGUUUGCUUUGA